rnacentral:rRNA from 1 species
AUUAUCUAGUUGGUGAGGUAAUGGCUCACCAAGGCCACCAUCCGUAACUGGUCUGAAAGGAUGAUCACUCACACUGGAACUGACACACCGUCCACACUCCUACGGGAGGCAGCAGUGGGGAAUAUUGGACAAUGGGCGAAAGCCUGAUCCCGCGAUGCCGCGUGUGUGAAGAAGGUCUUCGGAUUGUAAAGCACUUUAAGUUGGGAGGAAGGGUUGUAGAU